rnacentral:tRNA from 1 species
GGGGAUGUGGCGAAAUCGGUAGACGCUACGGACUUAAUUUUUAAAAAUCGUGAGGGUUCAAGUCCCUCUAUCCCCA